rnacentral:rRNA from 1 species
AUGAACGCUGGCGGCGUGCCUAAUACAUGCAAGUCGAGCGAACGGACGAGAAGCUUGCUUCUCUGAUGUUAGCGGCGGACGGGUGAGUAACACGUGGAUAACCUACCUAUAAGACUGGGAUAACUUCGGGAAACCGGAGCUAAUACCGGAUGAUAUUUUGAACCGCAUGGUUCAAAAGUGAAAGACGGUCUUGCUGUCACUUAUAGAUGGAUCCGCGCUGCAUUAGCUAGUUGGUAAGGUAACGGCUUACCAAGGCAACGAUGCAUAGCCGACCUGAGAGGGUGAUCGGCCACACUGGAACUGAGACACGGUCCAGACUCCUACGGGAGGCAGCAGUAGGGAAUCUUCCGCAAUGGGCGAAAGCCUGACGGAGCAACGCCGCGUGAGUGAUGAAGGUCUUCGGAUCGUAAAACUCUGUUAUUAGGGAAGAACAUAUAUGUAAGUAACUGUGCACAUCUUGACGGUACCUAAUCAGAAAGCCACGGCUAACUACGUG